rnacentral:rRNA from 1 species
ACUCCUACGGGAGGCAGCAGUGGGGAAUAUUGGACAAUGGGGGAAAGCCUGAUCCAGCACAAUGGGCGAGAGCAAGAAGGUCUUCGCCGCGUAAGCGCUUUAAGUUGGAGGAAGGGCAGUAAGUUAAUACCGUGGGAAUGACGUACCAGCAGAAAAG